GAUGAACGCUGGCGGCGUGCCUAACACAUGCAAGUCGAACGAAGCACUGUAAACGGAGAUUCGUCGAAGUUUACUUUGACUUAGUGGCGGACGGGUGAGUAAUGUAUGAGCAACCUGCCUUUCAGUGGGGGACAACAGUUGGAAACGACUGCUAAUACCGCAUGACAUACUUUUGAGGCAUCUCGAGAGUAUCAAAGAUUUAUCGCUGAAAGAUGGGCUCGCGUCCGAUUAGGCAGUUGGUGGGGUAACGGCCUACCAAGCCGACGAUCGGUAGCCGGACUGAGAGGUUGAUCGGCCACAUUGGGACUGAGACACGGCCCAGACUCCUACGGGAGGCAGCAGUGGGGAAUAUUGCACAAUGGGGGAAACCCUGAUGCAGCAACGCCGCGUGAGGGAAGAAGGUUUUCGGAUUGUAAACCUCUGUUUUUAGUGAAGAAACAAAUGACGGUAGCUAAAGAGGAAGCCACGGCUAACUACGUG
rnacentral:rRNA from 1 species